AGGGGCAUUAUUCCCUCCUGGGGAAUCAGCUGGGAUAAAGAGCUUGUCUCUCAUUUCAAUGAAGAGCCCCUUUCAGUUUACGUCAGCCAGCUCUUAGCAGGAGGAUUGUAAUUUCCUGAAGUUCUAGGUCACAUCAAGUGCAAUACUUCAGAUUCUCUCAGCAGAUUCAUUGUAACACAAAAGGGAACUGCCUCCACAGUAGCUUUCCUUACACAAAAUUGGUCUCCCGCACAGAUUUGCUUUGGACAGUUUCCAUGACAAAAGGCAGAGCUGAAGUUCGUAACUGGCUGCACCGAAACCAGUGUGGGGGAUGUCUUGAUGUCCACAUCCUAUAGAGGACAUGUUUUGUCAGAUCAUUUUACAAAAGGUCUCCAAUGCCUAUUUUUUGAGAAUCUACCAAUCGAUGUUGAGCAGCAGCAGUGAGAAGAUAUCUUGGCAAACUUUGUUCAGCACAGGGUUUCCAAAUAAGGGUUGUGGUCACUGUGUCUUGAAAGUCACUUUUAAAUUUAGAAUAAAAAAAACCCAGCCGGGGGUGGUUUCCCCCCCAGCUGAGGUUUUUUCCUAGGUCCUGGCAGGUCUGCGAGGUGACUUUCAUUGCCAAAGUUAGGGCACGGCCCAGCCCCGACCGGGGUUUUCAUCAGGCAGGCCAAUUUUGAGGCUCCCGGGAACCACGUUCCUGAUGACUGCUGACAGCAGGGUUAUAACGGAGUGGUUGAGAGGAGAGUGAAGGUGAGUCGGUGUGCAAGCUGAAGCCGGCUUCUGUGGCAAAUGACUAUUGGGUUUUCUGUGUGCUCCUUCUGGUUUGGGAUAGCAGUAAUAAUAAAACAGCAUGUAUUGAACUUUUCAGAAAUACAGAAAUGGUUAUAUUAGGUUGAUAUGUAUUUGGCAUGUACUGUUCUGUAUUUGCAUUUGCUGCCUUGUUUCUCUGUAUUAGCCUGUAUGUGAAUUAGGGGUUUUUCAGUGUGUACAUGAAUUGUAUUAUAUUGUAUAGCAUUUGCAUUGCUAUCCAGUCUAUAUGUGUUUUGCUGUAGUGUAAAUAAAUUUAUUCAAUAAAGGUGAAUAAACCCUAAUAAAGAUGAU